rnacentral:rRNA from 1 species
CCUACGGGGGGCUGCAGUGGGGAAUAUUGCACAAUGGGCGCAAGCCUGAUGCAGCCAUGCCGCGUGUGUGAAGGAGGCCUUCGGGUUGUAAAGCACUUUCAGCGGGGAGGAAGGCGGUGAGGUUAAUAACCUCAUCGAUUGACGUUACCCGCAGAAGAAGCACCGGCUAACUCCGUGCCAGCAGCCGCGGUAAUACGGAGGGUGCAAGCGUUAAUCGGAAUUACUGGGCGUAAAGCGCACGCAGGCGGUCUGUCUAGUCGGAUGUGAAAUCCCCGGGCUCAACCUGGGAACUGCAUUCGAAACUGGCAGGCUAGAGUCUUGUAGAGGGGAGUAGAAUUCCAGGUGUAGCGGUGAAAUGCGUAGAGAUCUGGAGGAAUACCGGUGGCGAAGGCGGCCCCCUGGACAAAGACUGACGCUCAGGUGCGAAAGCGUGGGGAGCAAACAGGAUUAGAUACCCGAGUAGUC